rnacentral:tRNA from 1 species
UCCCUGGUGGUUCAGAAGGUAGAACAUCUGCCUGCAGUGCAGGAGACCCAGGUUCAAUCCCUAGGUUGGGAA